rnacentral:tRNA from 1 species
UGCGGGGUGGAGCAGUUGGUAGCUCGUCGGGCUCAUAACCCGAAGGUCGUCCGUUCGAGUCGGGCCCCCGCUACUA